AGUCAAAAGCUGUACCAGUAGAUCAAAUUAAGAGUCAUCAAGUGGUAGAGGUUGAAUGCGGAAGACUUUGAAAAUGUUUAGCUCAUUGCGUUGUGACACUCUUGGCAAGAUUGCGAGGUUGAUCCACAUUGUAUCCACGCAAUACAGUAAGAUGAUAGGCCAAUAACUGUAAUGGAACUACAUUAAUUACGGGCUGCAAACAGUCCACAACCUGUGGA
rnacentral:misc_RNA from 1 species